AUGCGUAGGUGACAAGCGUUAUCCGGAUUUACUGGGCGUAAAGGGCGUGUAGGCGGUCUUGCAAGUCAGAAGUGAAAUUCCUGAGCUCAACUCGGGCGCUGCUUCUGAAACUGCCGGACUUGAGUGCUUGAGGGGAAAGCGGAAUUCCUAGUGGAGCGGUAAAAUGCGCAGAGAUUAGGAAGAACACCGGUGGCGAAGGGGAGUAUGUGGACAGAAAUAGACUGGGAGGCGCGAAAGCGUGGGGAGCAAACAGUAGUAUAUGCCCGGAUACCCCACGUCGUAAACGAUGAAUACUAGGUGUGGGAGGACUGACCCCCUCCGUGCCGCAGUUAACACAAUAAGUAUUCCACCUGGGGAGUACGGCCGCAAGGUUGAAACUCAAAGGAAUUGACGGGG
rnacentral:rRNA from 1 species